rnacentral:sRNA from 1 species
UCUUUUUCUCUUGUCGUAAAACAUUAUUUGUUCCGCUUAUUGCAACGUUUUUUUUUCGUUUAGUGUUUUUUACAAUCUUGUCGGGUGUACGUAUUUAUUGGUACACACCAAACAUCAAUUAAAUAUUGUGUACGUAUUUUUGGUACACACCAAUCUUGAAUUAUUAUUGUAAAUUUCGAUCUGUACAAUCGGACUGUGUGGUCAUUGUGAUCAAUCCAAUUAUUAUUAUUAUUGCGAUAUUACGUGCGACGCUACUGGAAGCCGUCACUGCACCGGCUCAUUAUUAUUGUUUGGAAUAAACGGCCAAUUAUUAUCAUUCAAACC